UACCUACGGGGGCAGCAGUGGGGAAUAUUGCACAAUGGGGGAAACCCUGAUGCAGCGACGCCGCGUGAGUGAAGAAGUAAUUCGUUAUGUAAAGCUCUAUCAGCAGGGAAGAAAAUGACGGUACCUGAGUAAGAAGCCCCGGCUAACUACGUGCCAGCAGCCGCGGUAAUACGUAGGGGGCAAGCGUUAUCCGGAUUUACUGGGUGUAAAGGGGGCGCAGACGGCAGCGCAAGCCAGGAGUGAAAGCCCGGGGCCCACCCCCGGGACUGCUCUUGGAACUGCGCGGCUGGAGUGCAGGAGGGGCG
rnacentral:rRNA from 1 species